rnacentral:rRNA from 1 species
CAGCCGCCGCGGGAAUACAGAGGGUGCAAGCGUUAAUCGGAAUUACUGGGCGUAAAGCGCGCGUAGGUGGUUUGUUAAGUUGAAUGUGAAAUCCCCGGGCUCAACCUGGGAACUGCAUCCAAAACUGGCAAGCUAGAGUAGGGCAGAGGGUGGUGGAAUUUCCUGUGUAGCGGUGAAAUGCGUAGAUAUAGGAAGGAACACCAGUGGCGAAGGCGACCACCUGGGCUCAUACUGACACUGAGGUGCGAAAGCGUGGGGAGCAAACAGGAUUAGAUACCCCUGUAGUCCCUGUCUCUUAUAC